rnacentral:rRNA from 1 species
AGAGUUUGAUCAUGGCUCAGGAUGAACGCUAGCUACAGGCUUAACACAUGCAAGUCGAGGGGCAGCAUGGUCUUAGCUUGCUAAGGCCGAUGGCGACCGGCGCACGGGUGAGUAACACGUAUCCAACCUGCCGUCUACUCUUGGACAGCCUUCUGAAAGGAAGAUUAAUACAAGAUGGCAUCAUGAGUCCGCAUGUUCACAUGAUUAAAGGUAUUCCGGUAGACGAUGGGGAUGCGUUCCAUUAGAUAGUAGGCGGGGUAACGGCCCACCUAGUCUUCGAUGGAUAGGGGUUCNGAGAGGAAGGUCCCCCACAUUGGAACUGAGACACGGUCCAAACUCAUACGGGAGGCAGCA